rnacentral:tRNA from 1 species
GCGGUCGUGGCUUAAUUGGAAAAAGCACUCGGCUGUGGCCCGAGAGAUUUGCGGGUUCGAGUCCCGUCGACCGCCCA